rnacentral:rRNA from 1 species
CCUACGGGCGGCUGCAGUCGAGGAUCAUUCGCAAUGGGCGCAAGCCUGACGAUGCGACGCUGCGUGGAGGAUGAAGGCCUUCGGGUUGUAAACUCCUGUCGUCCGGGAACAACUCCCGACCGCUAAUACCGGUCGGGGCUGCUAGUACCGGAAGAGGAAGCCACGGCUAACUCUGUGCCAGCAGCCGCGGUAAGACAGAGGUGGCGAGCGUUGUUCGGAUUUACUGGGCGUAAAGGGUGCGUAGGUGGUUCCGUGUGUCGGACGUGAAAGCCCACUGCUCAACGGUGGAACGGCGUUCGAAACUGCGGGACUAGAGUGCAGGAGAGGAGAGCGGAAUUCUCGGUGUAGCGGUGGAAUGCGUUGAUAUCGAGAGGAACACCAGUGGCGUAGGCGGCUCUCUGGAAUGCAACUGACACUGAGGCACGAAAGCGUGGGGAGCAAACAGGAUUAGAUACCCUAGUAGU